rnacentral:rRNA from 1 species
CAGGCCUAACACAUGCAAGUCGAACGAUGAAGCUGGACCUGCGUAACUUGUUACAAAGGACUAGUGGAAGAGUGGCGAACGGGUGAGUAACACGUGAGCAACCUACCUAUGACAGGGGAAUAACUACGGGAAACCGGAGCUAAUACCGCAUAAUAUUGGAAUUUGGCAUCAAAUAUCAAUCAAAGAUUUAUCGGUCAUAGAUGGGCUCGCGUCCGAUUAGAUAGUUGGUGAGGUAAUGGCUCACCAAGUCCGCGAUCGGUAGCCGGACUGAGAGGUCGAUCGGCCACAUUGGGACUGAGACACGGCCCAGACUCCUACGGGAGGCAGCAGUGGGGAAUUUUGGGCAAUGGGCGAAAGCCUGACCCAGCGACGCCGCGUGAAGGACGAAGGCCUUAGGGUUGUAAACUUCUUUGACUGGGGAAGAUAAUGACUGUACUCAGAGAACAAGCCACGGCUAACUACGUGCCAGCAGCCGCGGUAAUACGUAGGUGGCAAGCGUUAUCCGGAUUUACUGGGUGUAAAGGGCGUGUAGGCGGACUUGUAAGUUGGAUGUGAAAUGCCGUAGCUUAACUACGGGUUGUCAUCCAAAACUGCAUGUCUUGAGUGUCAGAGGGGAAAGUGGAAUUCCUAGUGGAGCGGUAAAAUGCAUAGAUAUUAGGAGGAACAUCAGUGGCGAAGGCGACUUUCUGGCUGACAACUGACGCUGAGGCGCGAAUGCGUGGGGAGCAAACGGGAUUAGAUACCCCGGUAGUCCACGCCGUAAACGAUGAAUACUAGGUGUAGGAGGUAUCGACUCCUUCUGUGCCGCAGUUAACGCAUUAAGUAUUCCACCUGGGGAGUACGGCCGCAAGGUUAAAACUCAAAGGAAUUGACGGGGGCCCGCACAAGCAGUGGAGUAUGUGGUUUAAUUCGAGGCAACGCGAAGAACCUUACCAGGGCUUGACAUCCUCUGACAACCCUAGAGAUAGGGCUUCCCUUCGGGGCAGAGAGACAGGUGGUACAUGGUUGUCGUCAGCUCGUGUCGUGAGAUGUUCGGUUAAGUCCGGCAACGAGCGCAACCCUUAUUGCUAGUUACCAUCAUUAAGUUGGGGACUCUAGCGAGACUGCCGUUGACAAAACGGAGGAAGGUGGGGACGACGUCAAAUCAUCAUGCCCCUUACGUCCUGGGCUACACACGCACUACAAUGGUGAUGACAGAGGGCAGCUACCGGGUGACCGGAUGCUAAUCCCAAAACAUCAUCUCAGUUCGGAUUGUAGGCUGCAACUCGCCUACAUGAAGUCGGAAUUGCUAGUAAUGGCAGGUCAGCAUACUGCCGUGAAUACGCUCCCGGGCCUUGUACACACCGCCC